UCAAGCUGGGCAUCCAGGGCUCGUACUUCUGCUCGCAGGAAUGUUUUAAAGGAAGUUGGGCUACUCACAAGUUACUACAUAAGAAAGCAAAGAGAAGGUGUUAUGUAAUGUCUUAAACUGGCUCCACCAAACUUUGUGACCAUGGGUUAUUCUAAGUCUCACCUCCAAGAUGCUGGAAUCAUAGGUUUGUGUGAGGAUUAAAUAAAGAAAUCCAUGAGAAGUGCUUAGCAUGUGUACCAUGCAUAAAGAUGAAAAGGCGAAGCGAGAAGUGUCUUCCUGGACUGUGGAAGGUGAUAUUAAUACUGACCCAUGGGCAGGUUAUCGAUAUACUGGUAAACUCAGACCACAUUAUCCACUGAUGCCAACAAGGCCAGUGCCAAGUUAUAUUCAAAGACCAGAUUAUGCUGAUCAUCCCUUAGAAUUUUCCUGGCUAUUCUUGCAUGUUUGUUUUUCCAUGUGAAAUUUAGAAUCAGCUUGUCUGGUUCUCAAAAUUAUCCUGUUGACAUUUUUUUAUUGGGAUAGUAUUAAAUUUAUAGAUUAAUUUUGGAAGAAUUGACAUCUUUACAAUAUUGAGUCUUCCUGUCCAGGAACAGGGAAUGUCUGAAUCUGAACAGGCUCUUAAAGGUACUUCUCAGAUUAAAUUACUCUCAUCUGAAGAUAUAGAAGGGAUGCGACUUGUAUGUAGGCUUGCUAGAGAAGUUUUGGAUGUUGCUGCCGGCAUGAUUAAACCAGGUGUAACUACUGAAGAAAUAGAUCACGCUGUACACUUA
rnacentral:lncRNA from 10 species